rnacentral:rRNA from 1 species
AUUGAACGCUGGCGGCAGGCCUAACACAUGCAAGUCGAGCGGAUGAAGGGAGCUUGCUCCUGGAUUCAGCGGCGGACUGGUGAGUAAUGCCUAGGAAUCUGCCUGGUAGUGGGGGAUAACGUCCGGAAACGGGCGCUAAUACCGCAUACGUCCUGAGGGAGAAAGUGGGGGAUCUUCGGACCUCACGCUAUCUGAUGAGCCUAGGUCGGAUUAGCUAGUUGGUGGGGUAAAGGCCUACCAAGGCGACGAUCCGUAACUGGUCUGAGAGGAUGAUCAGUCACACUGGAACUGAGACACGGUCCAGACUCCUACGGGAGGCAGCAGUGGGGAAUAUUGGACAAUGGGCGAAAGCCUGAUCCAGCCAUGCCGCGUGUGUGAAGAAGGUCUUCGGAUUGUAAAGCACUUUAAGUUGGGAGGAAGGGCAGUAAGUUAAUACCUUGCUGUUUUGACGUUACCAACAGAAUAAGCACCGGCUAACUUCGUG